AGGGAUGUAGCACAGUGGUACUGUGUUUGCCUAGCACACAUGAGGCCCUGGGUUCAAACCCCAACAUCAAUA
rnacentral:tRNA from 1 species